UACGGGGGGGGCAAGCGUUGUUCGGAAUUACUGGGCGUAAAGGGUCUGUAGGUGGCCCACUAAGUCAGAUGUGAAAUCCCUCAGCUUAACUGGGGAACUGCGUCUGAUACUGGUCGGCUUGAGUGCAGGAGAGGAACGCGGAAUUCCAGGUGUAGCGGUGAAAUGCGUAGAUAUCUGGAGGAACACCGGUGGCGAAGGCGGCGUUCUGGACUGCAACUGACACUGAGAGACGAAAGCCAGGGGAGCAAACGGG
rnacentral:rRNA from 1 species